rnacentral:rRNA from 1 species
GCUUAAACACAUGCAAGUCGAGGGGCAGCACGGGAAUAGCUUGCUAUUCUGGGUGGCGACCGGCGCACGGGUGAGUAACGCGUAUCCAACCUGCCCAUUACUCAGGGAUAGCCUUGCGAAAGUAAGAUUAAUACCUGAUGUUGUUAAAAACCCGCAUGAGUUUUUAACCAAAGAUUUAUUGGUAAUGGAUGGGGAUGCGUGACAUUAGGUAGUUGGGGGUGUAACGGACCACCAAGCCGACGAUGUCUAGGGGUUCUGAGAGGAAGGUCCCCCACACUGGUACUGAGACACGGACCAGACUCCUACGGGAGGCAGCAGUGAGGAAUAUUGGUCAAUGGGCGAGAGCCUGAACCAGCCAAGUCGCGUGAGGGAAGACGGUACUAAGUAUUGUAAACCUCUUUUGUCAGGGAACAAAGAGACCACGCGUGGUAAGAUGAGUGUACCUGAAGAAAAAGCAUCGGCUAACUCCGUGCCAGCAGCCGCGGUAAUACGGAGGAUGCGAGCGUUAUCCGGAUUUAUUGGGUUUAAAGGGUGCGUAGGCGGUAUAGCAAGUCAGCGGUUAAAUGUCGGGGCUCAACCUCGGCCUGCCGUUGAAACUGUUGUACUAGAGAGAAUGAGAAGUAUGCGGAAUGCGUGGUGUAGCGGUGAAAUGCUUAGAUAUCACGAA